CACGUAGGGCGCAAGCGUUGUCCGGAAUUAUUGGGCGUAAAGAGCUCGUAGGCGGUCUGUUGCGUCUGCUGUGAAAACCCGGGGCUUAACCCCUGGCUUGCAGUGGAUACGGACAGACUAGAGGUAGGUAGGGGAGAAUGGAAUUCCCGGUGUAGCGGUGAAAUGCGCAGAUAUCGGGAGGAACACCGGUGGCGAAGGCGGCUACCUGGACCGGUUCUGACGCUGAUGCGCGAAAGCGUGGGUAGCAAACAGG
rnacentral:rRNA from 1 species